GACAGAGGUGCCGAGCGUUAGGCGGAAUCACUGGGCUUAAAGCGUGUGUAGGCGGAUCCGUAAGUACCUUGUGAAAUCCCACGGCUCAACCGUGGAACGGCUGGGCAUACUGGACAUCUCGAGGCACUCAGGGGCGAGCGGAACAAGUGGUGGAGCGGUGAAAUGCGUAGAUAUCACUUGGAACGCCAAUGGUGAAGACAGCUCGCUGGGGGUGUCCUGACGCUGAGGCGCGAAAGCCAGGGGAGCGAACGGG
rnacentral:rRNA from 1 species